rnacentral:rRNA from 1 species
UGUAAGUAACUAUGCACGUCUUGACGGUACCUAAUCAGAAAGCCACGGCUAACUACGUGCCAGCAGCCGCGGUAAUACGUAGGUGGCAAGCGUUAUCCGGAAUUAUUGGGCGUAAAGCGCGCGUAGGCGGUUUUUUAAGUCUGAUGUGAAAGCCCACGGCUCAACCGUGGAGGGUCAUUGGAAACUGGAAAACUUGAGUGCAGAAGAGGAAAGUGGAAUUCCAUGUGUAGCGGUGAAAUGCGCAGAGAUAUGGAGGAACACCAGUGGCGAAGGCGACUUUCUGGUCUGUAACUGACGCUGAUGUGCGAAAGCGUGGGGAUCAAACAGGAUUAGAUACCCUGGUAGUCCACGCCGUAAACGAUGAGUGCUAAGUGUUAGGGGGUUUCCGCCCCUUAGUGCUGCAGCUAACGCAUUAAGCACUCCGCCUGGGGAGUACGACCGCAAGGUUGAAACUCAAAGGAAUUGACGGGGACCCG